rnacentral:miRNA from 1 species
UUAGAAACUUGCAAUUAUAUA